rnacentral:rRNA from 1 species
AACUGCGGAAGACAUUUCACGAGUAAAUUGAACGGGUUGUAAGCUGACCUUUCCUCCUUUCUCAAGAAGGGGAAGGUAUGUGCACGCCUGGCUCAUCCACUCUUUCAACCUCUGUGCACUUAUUGUAGGUUCGGUGAAAGGGCACAAGUUCUGAUUUCGAUUAGGCUUUUGCUUGGAAACCUUUCCUAUGUCUUUUUACAAACGUUUCAGUCAUAAGAAUGUUAUAUGUCUGCGUGUGUAACGCAUAUGUUAUUAUAUAUAUAACUUUCAGCAACGGAUCUCUUGGCUCUCGCAUCGAUGAAGAACGCAGCGAAAUGCGAUAAGUAAUGUGAAUUGCAGAAUUCAGUGAAUCAUCGAAUCUUUGAACGCACCUUGCGCUCCCUGGUAUUCCGGGGAGCAUACCUGUUUGAGUGUCAUGGUUAUUCUCAACCUUCAAUAACUUUGUUGUUUAUCGAAGGCUUGGAUUUGGAGGCUUUUGUGCUGGCUUCUCCGUUAAGUCGGCUCCUCUUAAAUGCAUUAGCGUGAGUUGUAUAUAACGGAUCGCUUCGGUGUGAUAAUUAUCUGCGCCGUGGUUGUGAAGUUUUAUAAACAUAAGCUUUUGCGCUUCUAGCCGUCCUUCAGCUGGACAAACCUUUGUGUAUACUUUUGUGUACAUUUAUGACAUCUGACCUCAAAUCAGGUAGGACUACCCGCUGAACUUAAGCAUAUCAAUAAGCGGAGGAAAAGAAACUAACAAGGAUUCCCCUAGUAACUGCGAGUGAAGCGGGAAAAGCUCAAAUUUAAAAUCUGGCAGUCUUUGGCUGUCCGAGUUGUAAUCUGGAGAAGCGUCUUCCGUGCUGGACCGUGUACAAGUCUCCUGGAACGGAGCGUCAUAGAGGGUGAGAAUCCCGUCUUUGACACGGACUACUAGUGCUUUGUGAUGCGCUCUCAAAGAGUCGAGUUGUUUGGGAAUGCAGCUCUAAAUGGGUGGUAAACUCCAUCUAAAGCUAAUAUUGCGAGAGACGAUAGCGACAGACUG